rnacentral:snoRNA from 1 species
GUCGACGUACUUCAUAGGAUCAUUUCUAUAGUAAUCGUCACUCUUUGACUCUUCAAAAGAGCCACUGAAUCCAACUUGGUUGAUGAGUGACAAAACCUUCAUGCCCUAGAGUGAGAAACCAGAAAAUUUUUAAAUAGCUUGGUCCGCAAUUCUUAGCAAUUCGGCCAUCUAAUCAAAAAUGUUCAUAUGCUUUGCCGGUUGCAUUUCAACAACUUACCUAGUAGGUUCGUUGAGUUUUAAUUGGCGCGAUGAUCUUGACCCUUUCCAUGUACUCUUUCGAAGAGAGAUGGAAUUUAGGGUGGGCGUGAAUGGUAGUCUGACAAGU